rnacentral:rRNA from 1 species
UACGAAGGGGGCAAGCGUUGCUCGGAAUUACUGGGCGUAAAGCGCGUGUAGGCGGGUCUUUAAGUCAGGGGUGAAAUGCCAAGGCUCAACCUUGGAACUGCCUUUGAUACUGGAGACCUUGAGUCCGGGAGAGGUGAGUGGAAUUGCGAGUGUAGAGGUGAAAUUCGUAGAUAUUCGCAAGAACACCAGUGGCGAAGGCGGCUCACUGGCCCGGAACUGACGCUGAGACGGCGAAAGCGUGGGGAGCAACAGG